UCUGUCCACUUCUCAGGUGCAGUUGAUUGGCAAGGCUGGCCGAUGGCAAAGAACACAGGACGUUUGCGUGGUCUGACGACUGGAGGUGAUGAGGAGAACUGGAACAAGAGAGCUGGGCCAUGUUGCCGACCGUGGACGUGGAUAACCCAGGUGUAGCUGCUGGGCAAGGCUGGCCGUCGGCAAAGACCAGAAGACCUUCGCGUUGUCUGAUGACUGGAGGUGCUAAGGAGAACUGGAAAAAUGGGGCAGGCGCGUGUUGCUAAGUGUGACCGUGGCUAACUCCGGAAGCCUCCCAGCACGUGCUUGGAUCGAUGAUGACACCCUUGUAUGCAUUCCUUGGAAAAUCUGAACAAAA